AACGUACGCUGGCGGCACGCCUAACACAUGCAAGUCGAACGAAGUAGCAAUACUUAGUGGCAGACGGGUGAGUAACAUGUGGGUAUCUGCCCUUUGGCCUGGAAUAACACGAGGAAACUUGUGCUAAUACCGGAUAAGUCUUUACGGAGAAAGCUUUAUGCACCAUUGGAUGAGCCUGCACUUGAUUAGUUUGUUGGUGGGGUAAUGGCCUACCAAGACUGUGAUCAAUAGCUGAUUUGAGAGGAUGAUCAGUCACAUUGGGACUGAGACACGGCCCAAACUCCUACGGGAGGCAGCAGUGGGGAAUCUUGCACAAUGGAGGAAACUCUGAUGCAGCGAUGCCGCGUGAGUGAAGAAGGCCCUUGGGUUGUAAAGCUCUUUCGUCGGGGAAGAAAAUGACUGUACCCGAAUAAGAAGGUCCGGCUAACUUCGUGCCAGCAGCCGCGGUAAUACGAAGGGACCUAGCGUAGUUCGGAAUUACUGGGCUUAAAGAGUUCGUAGGUGGUUGAAAAAGUUAGUGGUGAAAUCCCAGAGCUUAACUCUGGAACUGCCAUUAAAACUUUUCAGCUAGAGUAUGAUAGAGGAAAGCAGAAUUUCUAGUGUAGAGAUGAAAUUCGUAGAUAUUAGAAAGAAUACCAAUUGCGAAGGCAGCUUUCUGGAUCAUUACUGACACUGAGGAACGAAAGCAUGGGUAGCGAAGAGGAUUAGAUACCCUCGUAGUCCAUGCCGUAAACGAUGUGUGUUAGACGUUGGAAAUUUAUUUUCAGUGUCGCAGGGAAACCGAUAAACACACCGCCUGGGGAGUACGACCGCAAGGUUAAAACUCAAAUGAAUUGACGGGGACCCGCACAAGUAGUGGAGCAUGUGGUUUAAUUCGAAGAUACGCGCAGAACCCUACCAACACUUGACAUGUUCGUCGCGACUCUAAGAGAUUAGAGUUUUCGGUUCGGCCGGACGAAACACAGGUGCUGCAUGGCUGUCGUCAGCUCGUGUCGUGAGAUGUUGGGUUAAGUCCCGCAACGAGCGCAACCCUCACUUUUAGUUGCCAUCAUUAAGUUGGGCACUCUGAAAGAACUGCCAGUGAUAAGCUGGAGGAAGGUGGGGAUGACGUCAAGUCCUCAUGGCCCUUACGUGUUGGGCUACACACGUGCUACAAUGGUAUCUACAACAGGAAGCAAGACUGCGAAGUUAAGCAAAUCCCUAAAAGAUACCUCAGUUCGGAUUGCACUCUGCAACUCGAGUGCAUGAAGCUGGAAUUACUAGUAAUCGUGGAUCAGCGUGCCACGGUGAAUGCGUUCCCGGGUCU
rnacentral:rRNA from 1 species